UACAGAGGGUGCGAGCGUUAAUCGGAAUUACUGGGCGUAAAGGGCGCGUAGGCGGUUAAUUAAGUUAGAUGUGAAAUUCCUGGGCUUAACCGAGGACUGACAUUUGAUACUGGUUGACUAGAGUGCGGUAGAGGGUAGUGGAAUUUCCGGUGUAGCGGUGAAAUGCGUAGAUAUCGGAAGGAACACCGGUGGCGAAGGCGGCUACCUGGACUGACACUGACGCUGAGGCGCGAAAGCGUGGGGAGCAAACAGG
rnacentral:rRNA from 1 species